rnacentral:sRNA from 1 species
AUUAGUUACAUUUCUAGAUAGUUCGGAUGUCGCUGUGGCAAAGUCCGAGGGCCAGCGCUGCCCUGGAGAUUGAGCGCCUGGAGGACAGGGCUGGAGAUUGAGCGCCUGGAGGACAGGGCUUUGUCUGCACGGUGCCCUCGGGGUCUGGGCUCAGUGAGGGAUGAACCCUACCAGAGCUACAGGAAUAAAGCACCCAACAACGUGUACGCCCAGAUGAAUGUGGCGCUUUAAGAGCUGUGCGUGUUUUGGGGGAGCAGACGGUUGACAGUGUUGAGUUUGAUUGAAGGCAUCGACUACAAGACGACCACCAUCCUGCUGGACGGGCGGCGGGUGAAGCUGCAGCUCUGGGAUACUUCAGGCCAGGGAAGAUUUUGUACCAUAUUC